AGUACAACGUGAGUCAGUUCCAGACUAGCGGGGAUUGGAUAUUCCUCGUGAACGUCCCGGGCAUCAACCGGGAAGGCUAAACACUCCUCGAGACCGAUAGCGAACAAGUAGCGUGAGCGAACGCUGAAAAGUAUCCCGAGAAGGGAACUGCAAUAGAGCCUGAACUCAGCUGGCGAUCGAGCGACGGGGCAUACAAGGUCCCACGAUAAACGACCGUGGCGCGAGCCACUAGUAGGACUCGUGGGAAGCCGAUGUUCCGUCGUGCGUUUUGAAAAACGAACCAGGGAGUGCAUUUGCUUGGCAAGCCUAACUCGACUAUCGAGGAAGGCACAGGGAAACCGAUACGGCCGCAGUCUUACGACCAGGGCCACCGUGUUCAAGCGCGGGGAGUCAAGCGGAUGCGACCCGAAACCGGGUGAUCUACGCGUGGGCAGGGUGAAGCGUGCCGAAAGGUACGUGGAGGCCCGUUAGGGGUGGUGUCCUACAAUACCCUCCCGUGACCUAUGCGUAGGGGUGAAAGGCCCAUCGAACCCGGCAACAGCUGGUUCCAGCCGAAACAUGUCGAAGCAUGACCUCUUCAGAGGUAGUCCGCGAGGUAGAGCUACCGAUUGGAUGACCCGCCUCCGAGAGGAGUCGGCCAUCCUGUCGAACUCCGAACUUGCGGACGCCGCAGACGAAGGGAGUCCGGUGUGCGGGGUAAGCCUGUGCACCAUAAGGGAGACAACCCAGCGGUAGGUUAAGGUCCCCAAGUGUAGACUAAGUGCGAUCGAAGGUGGUCCCGAGCCCUAGACAGCCGGGAGGUGAGCUUAGAAGCAGCUACCCUCCAAGAAAAGCGUAACAGCUUACCGGCCGAGGUUCGGGGCGCCCAAAAUGAUCGGGGCUCAAGUCUACCACCGAGACCUACCCAUGUCCGUUACAGGACAAUUGCGUAGGCUGGCACUCUGCUCGGACGGAAGCGCGGGAUAGAUCUCGUGUGGACCGAGCAGUGACGAUAAUCCUGGUCAUAGUAGCAGCGAGAGUCGGGUGUGACCCCCGACGGCCUUACGAGCAAGGGUUCCUCGGCACUGUCAAUCAGCCGAGGGUUAGUCGAUCCUAAGUCUCACCGUAACUCGACUGAGACAACAGGGAAGCUGGUUAAUAUUCCAGCACCACUACUCAUUGAAAGUCGACGCUUUGGGGACAACCGAACCGGGCUUUCGCCCGGUCUAAUCAGAUACCGCCGUGGAAGCCGUAACGGCACGAAGCGGCCAAACUCUGAGACAGCGCAAGUCGGUCGUACCUAGAGCCCGUGAAAAGACGAGAGUAGUGAUCGUACCGAGAUCCGACACAGGUGCUCUGCCGGCGAAAGGCAAGGCCCGUCGGGAGCAACCGGCGUUAGGGAAUUCGGCAAGUUAGUCCCGUACGUUCGCAAUAAGGGAUGCCUGCUCUGGAGAAGAGCAGGUCGCAGUGACUCGGGCGCUCCGACUGUCUAGUAACAACAUAGGUGACCGCAAAUCCGCAAGGACUCGUACGGUCACUGAAUCCUGCCCAGUGCGGGUAUCUGAACACCGAGUACAAUCGGACGAAGGACCCGUCAACGGCGGGGGUAACUAUGACCCUCUUAAGGUAGCGUAGUACCUUGCCGCUUCAGUAGCGGCUUGCAUGAAUGGAUCAACGAGAGCGCCACUGUCCCAACGCUGGGCCCGGUGAACUGUACGUUCCAGUGCGGAGUCUGGAGACCCCCAAGGGGAAGCGAAGACCCUAUAGAGCUUUACUGCAGGCUGUCGCUGAGACGUGGUCGCUACUGUGCAGCAUAGGUAGGAGGCGUUACACAGGUACCCGCGCUAGCGGGCCACCGAGCCAUCAUUGAAAUACUACCCGGUAGUGACUGCGACUCUCACUCCUGGCGGAGGACACCGGUAGCCGGGCAGUUUGACUGGGGCGGUACGCGCUCGAAAAGAUAUCGAGCGCGCCCGAUGGU
rnacentral:rRNA from 1 species